rnacentral:rRNA from 1 species
GACGAACGCUGGCGGCGUGCCUAAUACAUGCAAGUUGAGCGCUGAAGGUUGGUACUUGUACCAACUGGAUGAGCAGCGAACGGGUGAGUAACGCGUGGGGAAUCUGCCUUUGAGCGGGGGACAACAUUUGGAAACGAAUGCUAAUACCGCAUAAAAACUUUAAACACAAGUUUUAAGUUUGAAAGAUGCAAUUGCAUCACUCAAAGAUGAUCCCGCGUUGUAUUAGCUAGUUGGUGAGGUAAAGGCUUACCAAGGCGAUGAUACAUAGCCGACCUGAGAGGGUGAUCGGCCAAAUUGGGACUGAGACACGGCCCAAACUCCUACGGGAGGCAGCAGUAGGGAAUCUUCGGCAAUGGACGAAAGUCUGACCGAGCAACGCCGCGUGAGUGAAGAAGGUUUUCGGAUCGUAAAACUCUGUUGGUAGAGAAGAACGUUGGUGAGAGUGGAAAGCUCAUCAAGUGACGGUAACUACCCAGAAAGGGACGGCUAACUACGUG